rnacentral:lncRNA from 1 species
CUUUUUAAUUCCCACUCUUUUUUGUACUGUAUUUGAAUUUCAAAUGCUUCAUUAUCCUCACACUAUCUCAUUUCAAUUUCAUUAUCUCACCUUUCUCUGGUUNNNNNNNNNUUUACUAACUAACAUAAAUUUUAUUUUGCAGGAACAUCUAUAGUUGUUAUUGAAGAAGAAGUACAUGGGUAAAUAAAUUUAUUCAUUUAUCUAACCUUAUUAUACAUUUAUUCUCUAACCUUACUAUACACACACAUGUAUGUAAGUUAAUAAUAAAUAAAGAUAUAUAGCUUAUAUUCUUCGUAUCAUGUUUAACACUACCGUUUUUCUCUUUAGGUUCAUUUUCAUUACCACAACAGAUUAUACAUAAAGGUAUGAUAUUCUCUACAACACAAACUUUCUUAGAUUUAUGGUAGAUUUACAUAAAGGUAUUGUAGAUUUGGAACAAAAUAAAUUUAAGAUGAAAAAAAAAAUAUAUAGCUUUGAUACUGUUUGUUGUAAAAGAAUGGAAAAGUUUAGAAAUAUGAAAGACAAAAAUAGGCCAAAUAUGAACUUUUUCUUAUAUGCAAAAAUAAAUAAAAAAUAGGCAAAAUAUAAACUUUUUCUUAUACGCAAAAAAAAGAAAACAGAUCAAACCAUAUCUAUUUAUUUUUCUUAUUAAGAUAUUUCACUAAUCAAUGCAAUAAUUUCUUUUUUGUUUCUGGGAAACAUAAAGACUACAACUAUGAGGAGAAAACAAGAAUCAAUAUUUGAUUCAGGUAAAAAAAAAAAUAUUACUAACAUUUAAUACUGUAUUGUUUUUCACUAUUAUUUUUCAAUUUUCUAAAGAAUAAAAACAACCACUAACAUUUUUAGCUUGAAAGAAAACCAAAAAAAAUAUGUUGCAGAAAAAAAAAAAGAAGAAUAGAUCUAGAAAGAAAUAGAAGAAUAGAUUUAGACAAGUUGAGUUUGUAACUUCAGCAUAGUUAUUAUUACUUUUGUUCAAUCCAAAUAUAGACUUACACAUUUUUUUCCAAAAAACUAAAAAUGAAAAUUGUAGCAGGAACUCAGACAAAGAAGACAUCCUCAGAUAUAAAGAUGAAAGAACAAAGUAAAUAGCAUGAGAUGUAGCAAUAACAGAAACAAUUAUUUAUUUUUUCCGGCGGGGCGGUGACA